GACAGGGAGAGGGAGGCAGAUCCCAUGAAAUGAGGCUGGACAGGAAGUCCUCCCAACGAGGUUAUCAGGCAAAUCAAGAAGAGUGGGAAGUGCCCGAAGACAGGAGGCUGCCUGCCAGCGACUCCACGGGCUCAGGCUGUUUGUAGUUCAUGUGCAUAAUUUUUAAAGAUAGACAUAAGACAUACCCCUGAAGAUGAGUACAAGAGAGAAAGACAGGGCUCUGAAAAUACUGCCAUAGGCUCAAGUUCCAAAGUGCUGGAGUUACAAAAGUAUAAAGGACAACGCAAAGGACUUUUUAGCCAAAGAAGAACCAGAAAGGAUUGCAGCGGCUACAUCUAGAAUCAACGGGUGGAAGUUAUAUGGCAUAAAUCUCAGAUCAGUGAGGUUCUGAGCACUGAUUUCAUCAAGCCGAUGGAGGCAACAACAUAUUCCUUAGGGAAAAUUAAGAUGCACAGUAUGCUUCAAGAUGAUGGCCAAGAACAACCAACUCAACGAGCCUUCAGGAAUUCAUGAUUUGAAUAUCAUGUUCAAGCUACAGACAUCAGCAAACUCGAGAAAAGAAGGUUUGCUCUGGGAGAUUCUACAUGUGACCUGUUUAUAUGUAAUUAUAUUAUCUAUUACUCAAGUAUUUGUCUUGUGCUGUCUAAAUUAUAAGCUUCUCAACUGUUUGCCUUGAGUGAGAUGUGCACGCUAAAGCCUCUCAAUAAAUAUUAAUUGAAUGAAUAAUUGAAAAAAACC
rnacentral:lncRNA from 1 species